rnacentral:rRNA from 1 species
AUUGAACGCUGGCGGCAUGCCUUACACAUGCAAGUCGAACGGUAACAGGUCUUCGGAUGCUGACGAGUGGCGAACGGGUGAGUAAUACAUCGGAACGUGCCCGAUCGUGGGGGAUAACGAAGCGAAAGCUUUGCUAAUACCGCACACGAUCUACGGAUGAAAGCAGGGGACCGCAAGGCCUUGCGCGAACGGAGCGGCCGAUGGCAGAUUAGGUAGUUGGUGGGAUAAAAGCUUACCAAGCCGACGAUCUGUAGCUGGUCUGAGAGGACGACCAGCCACACUGGGACUGAGACACGGCCCAGACUCCUACGGGAGGCAGCAGUGGGGAAUUUUGGACAAUGGGCGAAAGCCUGAUCCAGCCAUGCCGCGUGCAGGAUGGAGGCCUUCGGGUUGUAAACUGCUUUUGUACGGAACGAAAAGACUCUGGUUAAUACCUGGGGUCCAUGACGGUACCGUAAGAAUAAGCACCGGCUAACUACGUGCCAGCAGCCGCAGUAAAAC